GGCGAAUAUAACUCAGUUGGUUAGAGUGCUAGGUUGUGGUUCUAGAAGUCACAGGUUCGAAUCCUGUUAUUCGCCU
rnacentral:tRNA from 1 species